UACGUAGGGGGCAAGCGUUGUCCGGAUUUAUUGGGCGUAAAGAGCGUGUAGGCGGUUUGGUAGGUCCGCUGUGAAAACUCGAGGCUCAACCUCGAGACGCCGGUGGAAACCAUCAGACUAGAGUCCGGAAGAGGAGAGUGGAAUUCCUGGUGUAGCGGUGAAAUGCGCAGAUAUCAGGAGGAACACCGGUGGCGAAGGCGGGUCUCUGGGCCGGAUACUGACGCUGAGGAGCGAAAGCGUGGGGAGCGAACAGG
rnacentral:rRNA from 1 species